rnacentral:rRNA from 1 species
CGAGGGAGUGGCAACACUUCUGUCGGCGACCGGCGCACGGGUGAGUAACGCGUAUCCAACCUGCCCAUCACUUGGGAUAACCUUGCGAAAGUAAGACUAAUACCCAAUGAUAUCUCUAGAAGACAUCUGAAGGAGAUUAAAGAUUCAUCGGUGAUGGAUGGGGAUGCGUCUGAUUAGCUGGUUGGCGGGGUAACGGCCCACCAAGGCGACGAUGGAUAGGGGUUCUGAGAGGAAGGUCCCCACAUUGGAACUGAGACACGGUCCAAACUCC